rnacentral:rRNA from 1 species
UACAGAGGUCCCAAGCGUUGUUCGGAUUCACUGGGCGUAAAGGGUGCGUAGGUGGUGAGGUAAGUCGGAUGUGAAAUCUCCGAGCUCAACUCGGAAAUUGCAUUGGAAACUACCUUGCUUGAGGGUUGGAGGGGGGACUGGAAUGCUUGGUGUAGCAGUGAAAUGCGUAGAUAUCAAGCGGAACACCAGUGGCGAAGGCGAGUCCCUGGACAACACCUGACACUGAGGCACGAAAGCUAGGGGAGCAAACGGG